AAAUAAGGUGCCUGAACAAAGGAUUAUUUUGAUAGAAUAAAUUACGUGGAAAAUCCACUCUUAUU
rnacentral:tRNA from 1 species